rnacentral:lncRNA from 1 species
UUUUAAUAAAUAUGUUGGGCCAUAGUUUUUAUUCUUUUUCUAUGAUAAUUGGGUUAAAAUUUUAUUAUUUGAAAGCCCAUUUAUCACCUUAAAAGCCCAAUUAUUAUUAUAAGUCCAUAUGUCUUUCUUUAAUUUAAAUGAGAUGUUACGUGGUUCAGUUUUUCCUUAGCCACAUAUUCGGAUUUAAUCACCUUCAGUCACCUAAUUUUAUUCAGCCACGUAUCACUCACUGCUAUCACAUUUAAAAUUCACCCAAAUAACUUGCUAGGUUUCAUUUCAUCAAAAUUUUCCAGAGCACAAAUUUCAUUCAAGUUAACAGACUUCUCAUUUCUGAUAUUUCCUUCACAAAACUUCAGCUGGUAAUUUUAUUGUUUCUGUGAGAUUUCAUGUUUUAAUUUAUCACAGCAAAUUACUACGUUUUUCUUUCAUUCUCAUUUAUUUUGUGAAACAACACAAGCCCAUUAAACCAAACUCCUCUGUACAUAUGCACAUAACCAAAAAUUUCCUUAAAAAGAAAAUCUUUUAUAAGAAAUCAUUUUGAAUAAAUUCCUUUCCGUAGCAAACUUUGAUCAGCUGCAGCAGUAAACUUUGAAUUCUACAGCAGCAAACUUUAAUCAGCAAACUUUGAUUUCCAGUAGCAAACUUUGAUUUCUUUCACACUUCAAAUCUUUGACGAAUCCUCAAAUUCACAAAUUCGAUUUUUACUCCUCAACCACGAUAUUUCAAUCCAGUAUAUAUAUGUAUAUCUAAUCUUCUUCAUCGCAAUUACCCAGCAAAUCCAACAGGAAAAAGUCUUUUAUAAUUCAUCCUGUUUCCUUCCCACUGCCGAAUCUCCAUCGGUAAUUCUCAAAAACUUGUAUAGUUUAUUUUCAUAUGCAAAGAUCUCUGCUUUCUUUCAAUUUACAGAAAACAACCAAACUCCCACAAAAUUCUUGUUUUUAUAAAUCCAAACUUGCAUACAUAUCAUUAAAGCUAUCUUUUGUAUUUCAUAAGAAAAUUGAAAUAGAAUGCAUAUUCACUGAUUUUACAAUAAAGAAAAUUAGAUUUAGAAACCUAGAAUAAUGGGGGGAAUUAAAAUGAAAUGAGGUGAGGGAUUGCUCGCCGGAGCAACGACGCCGCUGCGUGUGCAGGGGUGGCGGCGUACGGCGAGAGGAAACAGGGGCAGCGGCACCGUGGUCUCUGCCGCUGCUGAGUAUUUCCGGUCAGGGCGGAGGGAGAAGCGUUUGGGCUGUGCUGCUGUCCGUCGCAGUGGCGGCCGUCUGGUGGCGCGGUGGUAGGAGGCCGAGAGGGAGAGAGAGGGGUAGAGAGAAGAGAGAGAGAGCGGCUGAGAGGGAAGAGGCGUGAGUUGUAUGUUUGUGAUGGGUGUAGAAGUCAAAGUAGGAUUUAAGUUAGGAUUUAAUAAUGGGCUUGAGAAUAGGCUUUAGAUUGGGUUUAGUUUUCAUUAAGUGGUUUGGGCUUGUUUUAAUUUAUUUGUGGGUUGAAUAAUUAGCCAAUAAACCACAACAAUAAUAUUUCUUUUAUGGGCUGUAUUUGCAUAUAUUUUUACAAAGGAUAUUAUUAAAUUUCAUAUUCAAAUUUACAUUAUUAAUUUAAAUUUAGUUUUCAUUAAAUUUUUGAACCCAAAUAUUUUUAUAAGAAAAGCUCUUUUAUAAUCUAUUAGACCAAUAAUUUUUAAAUGGCUAUAUGAUAAUAAAUUCUUAAGAUUUAAAUUACUAUUAUUAUUUUUUUUAAAAUUCAAUUAGGCCCUUAUAUGUUAUUAUUUGAAUUUAUCUGACUAGGUGCGGCGCGACUAGGACGUGAACUUUAAAUUAUUGCAGUUAAUUUUCAAAGCUCAAAAGUUCAAGUUUCAGGUGUGGGAUUUAUUUCAGUACAUGCACGUGGUUAAUAUUUGUCCAUUUUAAUAUUAUGUGUUUACCGUAUGUGUUGUAAAAAUAUUUAUCGCUAGGGGCCAGCAUAAUUGGUCCAGGACUUCACCGUCCUUGGUAUGCCACAAUGCGAUUUCAUGUUACAGGGUUGCAACCAUUAUAUUGUCGCCAGGGGCCCACAUAUAGGGUCCGGGACAUUAAAGUCCUUGGAGUUGCCACAGUGCGUAUGGAAAUUUAUGUUACGUUAUGACAAUAUGUGUUACCAUUUUAUUAACAUGGACAAUUAUUGCAUGUUUCCACACUGAGUGUACCCUGUAUGCUCAUCCCAUAUUUAACAUUUUCAGGUUUUAAAGGCCGGAAGCGCGUGGAAGGUCGAAUGGCGAGUAAAAUGUUUUGAAUUUAGUUAUACUUAAAAACGUUAUGUUUAGUAAAGUAUUUUAACAUAAGAUAUUUAUUUCCCUAUUUUCACAUUAAAUAUUUAUUUAUAGUCAUUAUUUUCCACGUGCGUUUUCAUUUAAAAUUAAAAUGAAUUUGGGUGUCACAAGUCGAAUGGGCGCGUCGAAUCUAUUUAAAGAUAAAUGUUUCUUAAAACAUAUUAUGUUAUUUCAUGUGAUAUCUUUUGGUUAUGUAAACUCUGAAAUUCUAUACUAUUUGAGAUUUGUGUGUGAUUUGUUUAAAUAAAUGUUAUUAUAUUAUUUUAAUGUCAUGACUUGUUUAAUUUAUAUUUAAAUUCAUUUCAAAUAUUUAUUUAAGAAUUUAUAUCUUUACGAAAAUAUAUACAUGG